rnacentral:rRNA from 1 species
UACGAGGGGGUGGCAAACGUUGCUCGGAAUCAUUGGGCGUAAAGCGCACGUAGGCGGUUCGUUAUGUCGGAUGUGAAAGCCCUUGGCUUAACCGAGGAAGUGCAUCCGAAACUGGCGAGCUAGAGUACGAAAGAGGAUCGCGGAAUUCCCGGUGUAGAGGUGAAAUUCGUAGAUAUCGGGAGGAACACCGGUGGCGAAGGCGGCGCCCUGGUCCGUUACUGACGCUGAGACGCGAAAGCGCGGGGAGCGAACGGG